CUCCGAGGGAGUACCAAGUUUCUCCGUCUUUUUACCAAAGAGAUGGAUAGUCUGUACUUUUCCAAGUUUUCUUAUCAGUGCAGUCCAGCAUGUAGUUGUCAUGCGCAUUAAGUAAUCUUUAUGGUUGAUCAGGCCAGACAUGACCACCCAAGGCUCAUGCCAAACACAUGUGGUACCUCUUCUCUGAAGCUAUGUCCCUAUACUCAGUCUUUCUAAACAUUAAAGGCACCAAAU